rnacentral:rRNA from 1 species
ACGGAAGGCAGCAGUGGGGAAUAUUGCACAAUGGGGGAAACCCUGAUGCAGCGACGCCGCGUGAGUGAAGAAGUAUUUCGGUAUGUAAAGCUCUAUCAGCAGGAAAGAAAAUGACGGUACCCGACUAAGAAGCCCCGGCUAACUACGUGCCAGCAGCCGCGGUAAUACGUAGGGGGCAAGCGUUAUCCGGAUUUACUGGGUGUAAAGGGAGCGUAGACGGCUUUGCAAGUCUGAAGUGAAAGCCCGGGGCUCAACCCCGGAACUGCUUUGGAAACUGUAGAGCUAGAGUGCAGGAGAGGUAAGUGGAAUUCCUAGUGUAGCGGUGAAAUGCGUAGAUAUUAGGAGGAACACCAGUGGCGAAGGCGGCUUACUGGACUGUAACUGACGUUGAGGCUCGAAGGCGUGGGGAGCAAACAGGAUUAGAUACCCUGGUA